rnacentral:tRNA from 1 species
GGGGAGAUAGUUCAGUGGUAGAGCACAGGAUUUGAGACCCUACCUUGUAUCUGGGUUUCCCCA